rnacentral:tRNA from 1 species
GGAGUUGUGCCUGAAAUAAAGGGCCACUUUGAUAGAGUGAAACAUGGGGGUUAAAUUCCCCCCAACUCCU